UUCCCGGUUGAUCCUGCCAGAGAUCACCACUAUUGGGGUUCGAUUAAGCCAUGCGAGUUUUUGGUAGCAAUACCAAGGCGAACUGCUGAGUAACACGUAGUCAACCUGCCCUUCAGUCUGGAAUAACCUCGGGAAACUGAGGAUAAUACCGGAUAGGAGAUAAUGCCUGGAAAGGUUUAUCUCCCAAAGUUUCGACGCUGAAGGAUGGGACUGCGGUGGAUUAGGUUGAUGUUAAGGUAAUGACUUAACAUGCCUGUAAUCUAUAGGGGCUUUGAGAGAAGUAGCCCCCAGAUGGGUUCUGAGACACGACCCCAGGCCCUACGGGGCGCAGCAGGCGCGAAACCUCCACAAUGCACGCAAGUGUGAUGGGGGAACCUCAAGUGCCAGCACACUGUGUUGGCUUUUUAGGAGUUUAAAUUGCUCUUAGAAUAAGUGAUGGGUAAGACCGUUGCCAGCCGCCGCGGUAA
rnacentral:rRNA from 1 species